UUAGGUACCAUCAUCUUUUCUGAGCACAGAGGGCCAUGCCCAGCUGUUUUCCAUGGGCCAGACCUCACUUGUUGCUUUCCUAAUUCAGAAAAUAUAAAGUACUACAUUCAAGGUACUGUGCCAGGUUCUACAGACACAACAAAGAAAAACACGCUGCUCUCAGUGUUAACCUUAUAAUCUAAUGAAAGGAAAGGUGAAAUAUAUGAAAAAGUAUGACACAAGCUAAAAUAGAAAAACAAAGGAAUACUAGGGACCAUUUAGCAAAAUAUUUUAAAGAUAUAAAAUACAAAGGAUUACAAAAGAAAUAUGUUGAAAUAAUUGCCUAUAUAUAUAUUUUUAAAACUUCACAACUCCUACUCUCCCUUCCCUGAGUCUAUAAUAACUAAAGGGUUAUACAAUAAACUAAGAAACAAUCACUUCCUUAGGAGUUGUCUUCUAAACCCAGUUGGAUCACCUCUUUUGUACGAUGUGCAUACCCUGCUCCUCCUGGAAGAAGCAGUUUUGUCUUUUGAACUAACUCUAGACCUUGAACCAUUCCUAGAAUCAUAGAAUGUUUGAACUGAAAGGAACCUUAGAGAUCACCCAGCUCAAACAUAUUGAGAGAAACAAAGGGAUUUGCAGAAAAAACAUUCAAGAACUAGUUCCAGCCAUUCUUGAAUUCUUUCCUAAGGAUGUUCCCAUCUCUCAGAACUAAUAUGAAAGAAUUUGGGGACUAAAAAUGGGGAUUCCCAGUGGUCUUCAUAAAUAUUCUGGAAUCAGUAGCUUCCUCUGGGUGUCAAUCUAUGGAGCAGUUUUAAUGCUAAAUUAAGGAGUCUUGACUUUAGUCAGCAAGCUAUAGGAAUCUCAUAAUAACAAAGAUAAUUAAGAUAACAGAGCUAUAAAUCAAAUAAUUGAUUCUGCUAUACUAAGAAACCAUUGAACAUUUUUGAGAAAGAUUAGAAGGAUCAGUCUUAGUGCAUAAGGAAGAUUAAUAUGGAUAGAUUAUUAGUAAAUUCAGUUAACCACUUAAGUACCUACUAUGUGAUAGGUACUGGGUUAACCAAAAAAAAAAGUCCCUAAUUCUCUAGGAACUAACAUCUAAAUUAGAUAAAUAUAGAUACAUGUAGAUGCAAAUAUAGAUAGAUACAAAAUAUAUACAAAAUGAUUACAAGGUAAUUUCACUACUCUGGUUUAAGCCCACAUACAUACAUCCCCAAAGGGUAUCAGAUAUCUGAUAGGUAUCAGAGAUGUACAGUUUACCCUGUAGGCCAUGGGUUUUAUUGGAGGAUAGACUACUAUGAGAAGACCAACUUCAUUUAAACCAAAAAGUUGAGCUGUCAAAAAUGACCAGAGGGCAAAAUGGCUACUAAGCCCUGGACCUGGAUCUGGGACAUGGACUGAAGUAUUCAUUGUAAGUCUAAGUCAUUUCUUCAGUUUUAAACAGCCUCCACUUUGGACUCACAGACUUAUAUCUUAAUUAUUGCCCUUGGUAGAGUAUGUUGCUCUUUUCAUUUCAUCUUGGUUGUCCUGGUAACAUCUUCAUACCUUCUAGUGGAGAAAUACUUAUUUUCAAUUCAUUUAACUCUUUAAUACCUUGUUAUUUCUGUUAAGGAUUCCUUAUAUUCUAUAAUACUAUCAAAAGGGUAAGGGAGGGAUCUAUCUCUUGGGGUAUCCUAAUCAAAUUCUUCUCACUGCAAAGCAUUUAGUUACUUAAAGUAAAUUGGUUAUGGCAUAUUUUCAAUGGUAGGUGAUAGGAGUAGAGUUAUAUUUCCAUCCCAACUUUUUCUCUGAUGUAUUAAAAACCUAGUGUUCAUGUGACACUUUUGAACAAUAAAACAGAAACAACAAAUGACAAUAGCAUUUGUAGCGCUUUAAGUUUUGCAAAGCACUUUAUAAAUAUUCUCUCAUUUUAUCUUUACAGCAGUCUUGGGAGGCAGAGGUUAUUAUUCUCCCCAAAUCGAGGCAGACUGAGGUUAGGUGAUUUGUCCAGGGCUACACAGCUCAUAGGUAUCAGAGAUUAGAAUUGAACACCAGAGUUAGGAAGACUCUUAAGACUAGCACUCUAUUCACUGUAUCAUCUAGUUGCCAUCAUAGGAAGAUGUUAAAUUUUAGGUUUUAAAGCUUGAAAGAACUUUUAAAAUCAUAUAUUCCAAUCCAUUUUAUAGAUGAGGAAUAUGAGACUCAAUGAAUUUAAGUGGCUUGCUCCAAAAUCACAUUAGAUAAUAACUAGAGCUGGCAUUCAAUCUAGGUCGUCUGAUUUCAAGUGCUGGUAAAGGCUUUUUCCACUGCUCAUCUACCUUUUAUGAUCUCAAGGAAUAAUGGACUCUACUCAUGUAGUGCAAGAGCAGGAGAAAUACUGUCGCAGUUCCUGUAGCAUGUUUUGUUCUUGAAAACACUGAGAGAUUCUUUAUGGAAGAGCAAUCAGUUGCCUCUAUGAGUAGUCUCAGGUUAAAGUUACUUAAAUCAUCAUAGCAUUUAUUAACAACCAUUCAUAUAUUGAUAAUAUACAGGCUUAUAUAAGCCACUUGUACUUUAUAGUUUCACCUUGUACAUCUUCCAUAAAUGUACUGGCUAUGGCAUAAAAAUAUUUAUUAUUGUAGUAAACAUUUGUUGAAUUGUAUUUGUUUAGGCCUGGGUUAGCUGAAUUUGGGUUCUGGUUUCUGGGGAUAUUGAAGAUAUUCAUAAUCACUUCUAUUAACAAUUCUCAAAUUCCAACACUAGGAUCUGAAGAGCAAAGACCCUACUUACCAGGAAUAUCCUUUGAAGCUUUCUGACCUCUCAGGUUUUCUUGGUGUUUCAUCCUACCUGAAGUGAAGAAAAAAUCACAAAUAGUCUGAUAUGGUGUAGACCUAGCAGCAUAAAGACAGGUAACUGACAUGGGCAGAGGGCACUUAUUGCCCUGAAACCUUAGAAAUUGGUAAAUUUUAUUCCUAUUGUCCAAAGAAAACCUGAGAAUUCAGAGUACAUUUUCAUUUAUGGGUCAUUGAGUUAGUUUAAGACUUUUCUGGAGAGUAGUUCAAAUUUUGGAAGAAGUUUGGAGUUCACCUUAGAGUACAUUACCAUGAACUUGAACCCUGCUAGUUUUCCUAGAAUUAAUUUCUUUGGCCUGUGUGCCAUCCUUGUGUGCCAUAAGGAGUAGCCCCAGACCACAUUAGCCUCUAGGACCCUGUCUUUCCCUCAAUGUAUGAGACAUUCCACAUACUUGGAUGCAGACCUAGGAAUCCAGCUUCUGUCUAGGCUGGUCCUUCCUGGGGGAAUAGAAAGUUGAGGAGUAUAUCUGUGGUGCAAUAAAAGCCACUUCAAUCUGAAAAAAAUUUAGCCUGAUCCUACUUGAGUGUUACUUAGGUCAUAAGGGUCCUCAACCACUCAGGGUUUGCAAGAUUACAGUGAGGUCACCAUAUAACUAAAGUUGUAGGACCAGAAACUAGAAUUUCAGCUCCCUAGAUGAUAAGAAUAAGCUUCAGUGAGAAUAAUCAGAAGUUUUGUACCAGAAAAUUUAUACCAGAAGCACAUAAUAUAAUUUGUUCAUCAAAUUUAAAGUUGUAAGGGACCUUAAGAGAGAAUUCAGUCUAAUUCCUUCAUUUUAUAUAGGAAGAAAUUAUUCCAGAAGAGGAGUUAGUGACUCAUCCAGACAGAUAGUCCAUAACCAAGAUGAGAUUCUGAUUCAGAUUCUUUGAGAUCAAAUCUAUUGUUUUUUGCUACAUUCAGAAAAUUUAUGGUAACUUCUGUUCUUCUGGUAGGUUUGUAGGCAGCCAUGUAACUUUUUAGUAUCCAAAACCCUAUCAUUCCUGGCAUUAAAUUGUAUUUUCCUGGGUAGCAGGGACUGUUGGUUUUUGGACAGGCAGAAUACCUGGCAGAAAAUAUUGUUUAUGACUGUUUAAUAAAUGUUAUUUGCUUAA